AGCAGCAUGGCCUAGUAGAAAGAGCACAGGCCUUGGGAGUCAGAGAAACUGGGUUCUAAUCCCAGCUCUGCCA
rnacentral:tRNA from 1 species